UACGGAGGGUGCGAGCGUUGUCCGGAAUCACUGGGCGUAAAGGGCGCGUAGGCGGCGCGGAUAGUCGGCGGUGAAAGCCCGGAGCUCAACUCCGGGUCGGCCGUCGAUACUUCCGGGCUUGAGCACUGUAGAGGCAGAUGGAAUUCCGGGUGUAGCGGUGGAAUGCGUAGAGAUCCGGAGGAACACCAGUGGCGAAGGCGACUUUCUGGCCUGUUCUUGACGCUGAGGCGCGAAAGCUAGGGGAGCAAACGGG
rnacentral:rRNA from 1 species